AACGAACGCUGGCGGCAUGCCUAACACAUGCAAGUCGAACGAGACCUUCGGGUCUAGUGGCGCACGGGUGCGUAACGCGUGGGAAUCUACCCUUGGGUUCGGAAUAACAGUUAGAAAUGACUGCUAAUACCGGAUGAUGACGUAAGUCCAAAGAUUUAUCGCCCAAGGAUGAGCCCGCGUAAGAUUAGCUUGUUGGUGGGGUAAUGGCCUACCAAGGCGACGAUCUUUAGCUGGUCUGAGAGGAUGAUCAGCCACACUGGGACUGAGACACGGCCCAGACUCCUACGGGAGGCAGCAGUGGGGAAUAUUGGACAACGGGCGAAAGCCUGAUCCAGCAAUGCCGCGUGAGUGAUGAAGGCCUUAGGGUUGUAAAGCUCUUUUACCAGGGCUGAUAAUGACAGUACCUGGAGAAUAAGCUCCGGCUAACUCCGUGCCAGCCGCCGCGGUAA
rnacentral:rRNA from 1 species